GUCUACAGCCAGGCCACCCUGAACAAGCCCAAUCCUGUCUGAUCUUGGAAGCUAAGCAGGAUCGGGCCUGGUUAGUACUUGGAUGGAAGACCACCUAGGAAGACCAGGUGCUGUAGACA
rnacentral:rRNA from 1 species